GGGCCAGGGUCCCAAUAUCCCCUUCAAGGACCCAUCUCUAAUGAUGUCUCUUCCUUCCAAAGGCCCAUCUCUGAAUGGUUCUCCCACCUCCCCACAGAGCCAGGCUGAGGACAAGGCCUUUAACACACGGGCCACCAGGGCACACCCAGACUGAAACUGUAGCAAUGGCUAGGGUUACUGGGUUCUGGGGCUCUACAUAGGAGCAAGCGCAUCUCCUUAUGCAUCACAGCCUUCAGUGCAUGUAACUCGGUUUAUUUUUUAAUCACCAAACACACUGAACUCAUUCUUCUAUUGCAGAGAUGGUGCCUCUCCCUCCCAAGUCCCGGGAAGCCCUUGCCCAGGGACAGCCGAGCAGCAGCCCUGCUCCCCAGGAACCCAGAAAACAGCAGCCGGCCCCAGCAAGCCGUCCACAGGUCUCUUUUAACAUCGCCAGUCCUCAGAAGGUCAGGAGCGCGACUUUAGUAUAGCGGAGGCUUCUCUGGGGACCUGUUUUGUACCUGCUGACAAGUGACGUCACGGGGCCUCCAUCCGUCUGCCAGCAUCACCUGGCCCCGUCGGACAGUUGGAGCGGGAGCAGUCUGGUGUGGACAGUACGGUGGCAGGAGCAGUCUGUUUUCCCAGAGGCCAUGGAGAAUGUGGCCUCUGAAAUGUUUCAUGGUUUUAUCGAAUGCCUUAAAGUUUCCAAGCAGAACCCUCAAUGCAUCAUGUUAAUAUUUAUUGUCACUCCCACUUGCUCAUCUAAUAAAUGGCACUGGACUCUA